GACGUACGCUGGCGGCGUGCUUAACACAUGCAAGUCGAACGGAAAGGCCCUGCUUUUGUGGGGUGCUCGAGUGGCGAACGGGUGAGUAACACGUGAGUAACCUGCCCUUGACUUUGGGAUAACUUCAGGAAACCGGGGCUAAUACCGGAUAGGAGCUCCUGCUGCAUGGUGGGGGUUGGAAAGUUUCGGCGGUUGGGGAUGGACUCGCGGCUUAUCAGCUUGUUGGUGGGGUAGUGGCUUACCAAGGCUUUGACGGGUAGCCGGCCUGAGAGGGUGACCGGCCACAUUGGGACUGAGAUACGGCCCAGACUCCUACGGGAGGCAGCAGUGGGGAAUAUUGCACAAUGGGCGGAAGCCUGAUGCAGCAACGCCGCGUGCGGGAUGACGGCCUUCGGGUUGUAAACCGCUUUCGCCUGUGACGAAGCGUGAGCGACGGUAAUGGGUAAAGAAGCACCGGCUAACUACGUG
rnacentral:rRNA from 1 species